rnacentral:rRNA from 1 species
AGCGUUAAUCGGAUUUACUGGGCGUAAAGCGUGKGUAGGUKGGCUUCCUAAGUCGGUUGUGAAAUCCCCUGGGCUCAACCUGGGAAUUGCAGUCGAUACUGGGAAGCUCGAGUUCGGUAGAGGACGGCGGAAUUCCCGGUGUAGCGGUGAAAUGCGUAGAUAUCGGGAGGAACAUCGAUGGCGAAAGCAACCGUCUGGGCCUGAACUGACACUGAGACACGAAAGCGUGGAGAGCAAACAGGAUUAGAUACCCUGGUAGUCCACGCCGUAAACGAUGAGAACCUGACGUCGGUUUGCUCUGCGAAUCGGUGUCGUAGCUAACGCGAUAAGUUCUCCGCCUGGGGAGUACGGCCGCAAGG